UACAGAGACUGCAAGCGUUAUUCGGAUUCACUGGGCGUAAAGGGUGCGCAGGCGGCCAAGUGUGUUAGGCGUGAAAGCCUGAGGCUUAACCUCAGAAUUGCACCUAAAACUACAUGGCUAGAGCAUUGGAGAGGGUAGCGGAAUUCACGGUGUAGCAGUGAAAUGCGUAGAUAUCGUGAGGAACACCAGAGGCGAAGGCGGCUACCUAGACAAUUGCUGACGCUCAGGCACGAAAGCGUGGGGAGCAAA
rnacentral:rRNA from 1 species